UACGGAGGGUGCAAGCGUUAUCCGGAUUUACUGGGUUUAAAGGGUGCGUAGGUGGGUCUGUAAGUCCGUGGUGAAAUCUCCGAGCUUAACUUGGAAACUGCCAUGGAUACUAUAGGUCUUGAAUACUGUGGAGGUCAGCGGAAUAUGUCAUGUAGCGGUGAAAUGCUUAGAUAUGACAUAGAACACCAAUUGCGAAGGCAGCUGGCUACACAAAUAUUGACACUGAUGCACGAAAAGCGUGGGGGAUCAAACAGG
rnacentral:rRNA from 1 species